rnacentral:rRNA from 1 species
AUUGAACGCUGGCGGCAGGCUUAACACAUGCAAGUCGAGCGGAGUGAUGGUGCUUGCACUAUCACUUAGCGGCGGACGGGUGAGUAAUGCUUAGGAAUCUGCCAUUUAGUGGGGGACAACAUUCCGAAAGGAAUGCUAAUACCGCAUACGUCCUACGGGAGAAAGCAGGGGAUCUUCGGACCUCGCGCUAAAUGAUGAGCCUAAGUCGGAUUAGCUAGUGGGUGGGGUAAAGGCCUACCAAGGCGACGAUCUGUAGCGGGUCUGAGAGGAGGAUCCGCCACACUGGGACUGAGACACGGCCCAGACUCCUACGGGAGGCAGCAGUGGGGAAUAUUGGACAAUGGGCGAAAGCCUGAUCCAGCCAUGCCGCGUGUGUGAAGAAGGUCUUCGGAUUGUAAAGCACUUUAAGUUGGGAGGAAGGGUUGUAGAUUAAUACUCUGCAAUUUUGACGUUACCGACAGAAUAAGCACCGGCUAACUCUGUGCCAGCCGCCGCCGUAACAC